rnacentral:rRNA from 1 species
UACGUAGGGUGCAAGCGUUAAUCGGAAUUACUGGGCGUAAAGCGUGCGCAGGCGGUGAUGUAAGACAGGUGUGAAAUCCCCGGGCUCAACCUGGGAACUGCAUCUGUGACUGCAUCGCUGGAGUACGGUAGAGGGGGAUGGAAUUCCGCGUGUAGCAGUGAAAUGCGUAGAUAUGCGGAGGAACACCGAUGGCGAAGGCAAUCCCCUGGACCUGUACUGACGCUCAUGCACGAAAGCGUGGGGAGCAAACAGG